UACGUAGGCAGCGAGCGUUGUUCGGAAUUACUGGGCGUAAAGAGUGUGUAGGCGGUGCUCUAAGUUCGGUGUGAAAUCUCCUGGCUUAACUGGGAGGGUGCGCCGGAAACUGGAGUGCUCGAACGUGGGAGAGGAAAGCGGAAUUCCUGGUGUAGCGGUGAAAUGCGUAGAUAUCAGGAGGAACACCGGUGGCGAAGGCGGGUCUCUGGGCCGAUACUGACGCUGAGGAGCGAAAGCGUGGGGAGCGAACAGG
rnacentral:rRNA from 1 species